rnacentral:rRNA from 1 species
GACGAACGCUGGCGGCGCGCUUAACACAUGCAAGUCGAGCGGUAAGGCCCUUUCGGGGGUACGACGAGCGGCGAACGGGUGAGUAACACGUGGGUGACCUGCCCUCAGCUCUGGGAUAAGCCUGGGAAACCGGGUCUAAUACUGGAUAUGACUCCAUGACGCAUGUUGUGGGGUGGAAAGCCUUGUGCGGCUGAGGAUGGGCCCGCGGCCUAUCAGCUUGUUGGUGGGGUGAUGGCCUACCAAGGCGACGACGGGUAGCCGGCCUGAGAGGGCGACCGGCCACACUGGGACUGAGACACGGCCCAGACUCCUACGGGAGGCGAGCAGUGGGGAAUCUUGCGCAAUGGGCGAAAGCCUGACGCAGCGACGCCGCGUGAGGGAUGAAGAU